rnacentral:rRNA from 1 species
AUGACGUCAAGUCAGCAUGGCCCUUAUGUCCAGGGCUACACACGUGCUACAAUGGGCGAUACAGAGGGAAGCAAGGCCGCAAGGUAGAGCUAAUCCCUAAAGUCGUCCUCAGUUCGGAUUGCAGGCUGCAACUCGCCUGCAUGAAGUCGGAAUCGCUAGUAAUCGCGGAUCAGCUACGCCGCGGUGAAUACGUUCUCGGGCCUU